rnacentral:rRNA from 1 species
UACGGAGGGGGCUAGCGUUGUUCGGAAUUACUGGGCGUAAAGCGCGCGUAGGCGGUUAGCACAGUCAGGCGUGAAAUCCCCGGGCUCAACCCGGGAACUGCGCUUGAUACUGGCUGACUAGAGGUCGGGAGAGGGUAGUGGAAUUCCCAGUGUAGAGGUGAAAUUCGUAGAUAUUGGGAAGAACACCAGCGGCGAAGGCGGCUACCUGGACCGAUACUGACGCUGAGGUGCGAAAGCGUGGGGAGCAAACAGG